AACGAACGCUGGCGGCAUGCCUAACACAUGCAAGUCGAACGAGACCUUCGGGUCUAGUGGCGCACGGGUGCGUAACGCGUGGGAACCUGCCCUUAGGUUCGGCAUAACUCCCCGAAAGGGGUGCUAAUACCGGAUCAUGUCUUCGGACCAAAGAUUUAUCGCCUUUGGAUGGGCCCGCGUUGGAUUAGCUAGUUGGUAGGGUAAAAGCCUACCAAGGCGACGAUCCAUAGCUGGUCUGAGAGGAUGGUCAGCCACACUGGGACUGAGACACGGCCCAGACUCCUACGGGAGGCAGCAGUGGGGAAUAUUGGACAAUGGGCGAAAGCCUGAUCCAGCAAUGACGGGUGAGUGAUGAAGGCCUUAGGGUUGUAAAGCUCUUUUACCCGGGAUGAUAAUGACAGUACCGGGAGAAUAAGCACCGGCUAACUCCGUG
rnacentral:rRNA from 1 species